rnacentral:rRNA from 1 species
UGGGGAAUAUUGGACAAUGGGCGCAAGCCUGAUCCAGCCAUGCCGCGUGAGUGAUGAAGGCCCUAGGGUUGUAAAGCUCUUUCACCGGUGAAGAUAAUGACGGUAACCGGAGAAGAAGCCCCGGCUAACUUCGUGCCAGCAGCCGCGGUAAUACGAAGGGGGCUAGCGUUGUUCGGAUUUACUGGGCGUAAAGCGCACGUAGGCGGACUUUUAAGUCAGGGGUGAAAUCCCGGGGCUCAACCCCGGAACUGCCUUUGAUACUGGAAGUCUUGAGUAUGGUAGGGGUGGGUGGAAUUCCGAGUGUAGAGGUGAAAUUCGUAGAUAUUCGGAGGAACACCAGUGGAUAAGGCGGCUCACUGGACCAUUACUAACGCUGAGGUGCGAAAGCGUGGGGAGCAAACAGG